GCUGAAUGUGGGGAUAAUUUAUCUCCGUGUUGUAGCUAACGCGUUAAGCACUCCGCCUGGGGACUACGGUCGCAAGACUAAAACUCAAAGGAAUUGACGGGGACCCGCACAAGCGGUGGAGCAUGUGGUUUAAUUCGAUGCAACGCGAAAAACCUUACCACUCCUUGACAUGGAGAUUAGAUCCUUCUUAACAGAAGGGCGCAGUUCGGCUGGAUCUCGCACAGGUGCUGCAUGGCUGUCGUCAGCUCGUGUCGUGAGAUGUUGGGUUAAGUCCCGCAACGAGCGUAACCCUCAUCCUUAGUUGCCAGCGGGUAAGCCGGGCACUUUAAGGAAACUGCCGGUGGUAAACCGGAGGAAAGUGGGGAUGAUGUCAAGUCAGCACGGCCCUUAUGGGGUGGGCUACACACGUGCUACAAUGGUGACUACAAUAGGUUGCAAUGUCGCAAGGCUGGGCUAAUCCGUAAAAGUCAUCUCAGUUCGGAUUGUCCUCUGCAACUCGAGGGCAUGAAGUCGGAAUCGCUAGUAAUCGUGGAUCAGCAUGCCACGGUGAAUACGUUCUCGGGUCUUGUACACACUGCCCGUCACGCCAUGGGAAUUGGCUUAACUCGAAGCUGGUGCGCUAACCGAAAGGAAGCAGCCAU
rnacentral:rRNA from 1 species